rnacentral:rRNA from 1 species
GACGAACGCUGGCGGCGUGCUUAACACAUGCCAGUCGAACGGAAAGGCCUCUUUCGGGGGGUACUCGAGUGGCGAACGGGUGAGUAACACGUGAGUAACCUGCCCUUGACUUUGGGAUAACUUCAGGAAACUGGGGCUAAUACCGGAUAGGAGCUCCUGCUGCAUGGUGGGGGUUGGAAAGUUUCGGCGGUUGGGGAUGGACUCGCGGCUUAUCAGCUUGUUGGUGGGGUAGUGGCUUACCAAGGCUUUGACGGGUAGCCGGCCUGAGAGGGUGACCGGCCACAUUGGGACUGAGAUACGGCCCAGACUCCUACGGGAGGCAGCAGUGGGGAAGAUUGCACAAUGGGUGGAAGCCUGAUGCAGCAACGCCGUGUGCGGGAUGACGGCCUUCGGGUUGUAAACCGCUUUCGCUCAUGACGAAGCUUUGUGUGACGGUAGUGGGUAAAGAAGCACCGGCUAACUACGUG